CCUACGGGCGGCAGCAGUGGGGAAUAUUGCACAAUGGGGGAAACCCUGAUGCAGCGACGCCGCGUGAGUGAAGAAGUAAUUCGGUAUGUAAAGCUCUAUCAGCAGGGAAGAAAAUGACGGUACCUGAGUAAGAAGCCCCGGCUAACUACGUGCCAGCAGCCGCGGUAAUACGUAGGGGGCAAGCGUUAUCCGGAUUUACUGGGUGUAAAGGGAGCGUAGGCGGCAGUGCAAGUCUGGAGUGAAAGGCGGGGGCUCAACCCCCGGACUGCUCUUGAAACUGUACGGCUGGAGUGCAGGAGAGGUAAGUGGAAUUCCUAGUGUAGAGGUGAAAUGCGUAGAUAUUAGGAGGAACACCAGUGGCGAAGGCGGCUUACUGGACUGUAACUGACGUUGAGGCUCGAAAGCGUGGGGAGCAAACAGGAUUAGAUACCCCAGUAGUC
rnacentral:rRNA from 1 species